rnacentral:rRNA from 1 species
AGAGUUUGAUCCUGGCUCAGGAUGAACGCUAGCUACAGGCUUAACACAUGCAAGUCGAGGGGCAGCAUGGUCUUAGCUUGCUAAGGCCGAUGGCGACCGGCGCACGGGUGAGUAACGCGUAUCCAACCUGCCUUACACUCUUGGACAGCCUUCUGAAAGGGAGAUUAAUACAAGAUGUUAUCAUGAGUAAGCAUUCUCACAUGAUUAAAGGUUUACCGGUGUAAGAUGGGGAUGCGUUCCAUUAGAUAGUAGGCGGGGUAACGGCCCACCUAGUCUUCGAUGGAUAGGGGUUCUGAGAGGAAGGUCCCCCACAUUGGAACUGAGACACGGUCCAAACUCCUACGGGAGGCAGUA